rnacentral:tRNA from 1 species
GCCUGGGUGGCUCAGUUGGUUGAGUGUCUGACUUUGGCUCAGGUCAUGAUCUCACGGUUCAUGGGUUCAAGCCCCACAUCGGGCU